AUGUGAUUGAAAAACAGCAUGAGAAAAAGUUUAACACCCCCACCUGUUCUGCUUCAGUAAAAACUGCUUUCCGAUGAACUUGCUAUUGCCUCCCACAGUGGAAAAAUGCAGGUGUACUAUAUUUAUUUCCUGAUAUGGGCUAAAUAGCUGCUUGCUAUGGUGAAUGAACUAUAUUGCAAAAACAGUGCUGCUGGUCUGAUAAAAAUCAGAGCCUUUGUGGUUGCUUCAGUUAAAAAUAAAGCAAAGCUGGAAGGGUUGUUCUUGCAUUCUGGUUGCUUUGAGGGGUUGCUUUUGGAGUGGGGAGAAGUGGCAGGGAUUGCUUCUCUGCCCACCUAAUGGUCCAUUCUCUUUGCUUGCUUGUUGCCUGCCAGCCAUGUGGAGCUGGUGGUAUCCACUUGCUUCACCCCUUGAAGGGGUUCUGCGUGUAAUUGGGAGAGAUGCACUUGAGCAGAGAGAUGAGAAAUGCAUGUGUAGUGUUGUGUUUGUAUGAGAGAGAGCUGGAAGGGGGAGAGUCAUGCAUAUGGUCUGUGAGAGACUGAGAUACGUAUGUGAGCAAGAAGUAUGGAUGAAUGUGUGCUUUGAGAGAGUGAAAGAUGCACUUGGGCAGAGAGGGAGAGGCAUUUGUGAAGCGUGAGAGAUGGUUCUCUAUGUGUGUGUGGAUGUGAGAGAGGGGUGUGGCCACCUUGUUUAUUUUUCCUAUUAGUGUGAAAUAAUUGCCAUGUGAUCUCCACAAGCAGGACAUAGCUUAUUUCCCACAAUAAGCAUGAGGUCUGGAAGGGGGAAACAGCAGUGCGUGUACUUGCUCUAAUUGUGCUUUGCCCCAACAGCAGUCAAUUUGUGACAGGCACUUUCCCCAAAUUCAAAAUGUGCCCACUGCUCCAAAAACUUUGGCGACCCCCUGCAUUAAUCUAUCUCUGUGUCACAUCUUUUUUGGUCCUUGGUACUUAACAGUCUGAAACCCUGUCUCUCCCCCUCCCCAUUCUGAGAAUUGAUUCUCAUCCUGGCUCAUGAGGAUUCGUUUCUGAUUUUCUGAGCAAUAAUGUAGUGUUAUGUCAAACUUUGUUGAUUUGGUGCUUUGUAGUAGUGAUGGUAUUGUUGUUCCACUUUUGUUAACAUGUUUGGAUCAGUUGUCCCCCUCUGUAGGCAGGUGUGUUCUAUAAGGCACACCUGCACAAUUAUCUGCUUUGUCACAAAGACAAGAUAAGCAGAAAGUUUACAGGUUUUGCUUGUUCUUUAUGUUCUUUAUUAAUUGUGUAUGCCUCCUACAGUUAUACUAAGAAUUACCUUGAGGUGGUACAGAUGGGUUAAUAGUACAUACCUACCUAGGCUCUCUUUACUUUUUUUCAACCUUCACCUUUGAAGUCAGUAGUGAAAGAUCAGCAUUUAGCUCAGAAUAAGUUAUUGUGUGUAUUUAUACAUAAUAUACAUUACUCAAUCUUUUCAAUAUUUAGGACUUUAGAGAGUUCACACUGACUCUUUGUGCUGCAUAUAUCUUUCUGGGCUUUUGACCAGUCUGAAAUAAACCUCCCACUUUUAACGCGCUCAGGAGCAUACACCUGAGUAAAUAGAGCCUGUGUUGUUAGUUAUUUGUAAAUUUCCCAAAACCUAUUUGUAGCCAUAUGAAGGGUGAUGGUUUAUGUACAACACAUAGGUGAAUGUAAGCAAAUUUGAGAGGAAUUCAUUUCUAAAUUUUAUAACUUUGAAUCCUAGGGAAUGUGUAGAAUAUGUAAAGAGUUUCAACAUACCCCUCCUGGUGUUAGGAGGAGGUGGCUACACAGUUCGCAAUGUGGCCCGAUGCUGGACUUAUGAAACAUCAUUACUUGUAGAUGAAGCAAUUAGUGAGGAGCUUCCAUAUAGUGUUUGGAAUUAAGACGAUGCUUGAAACGGAGGAGGGGAUCCUGCUUUUGGCAAGAGCCGUUGACCCCAAAGUCCCAUCCAUGAUGAUUGAUGCUAUCAUGCUACUGUCUGCCCUCUGCAUUCUGCCUCAGCCUGUGGAUAUGCAUGAGCACGUUCUGGUGGCACUGACACAACGAGCAGAAAUGGAUGAAGUGGAACGAUUCAAACCCAUCUUGGAUGGCCUGAAAAGUGACACCUCAGUGGCAUU